rnacentral:rRNA from 1 species
UACGAAGGGGGCUAGCGUUGUUCGGAAUUACUGGGCGUAAAGCGCACGUAGGCGGGUCUGUAAGUAGGGGGUGAAAUCCCAGGGCUCAACCCUGGAACUGCCUUCUAGACUGCAGGCCUUGAGGUCAGGAGAGGCGAGUGGAAUACCGAGUGUAGAGGUGAAAUUCGUAGAUAUUCGGUGGAACACCAGUGGCGAAGGCGACUCGCUGGACUGAUACUGACGCUGAGGUGCGAAAGCGUGGGGAG